CGAGUCCGAGGAGCUAAGGCUCCAAAGUGAUGCGAGUCGGACUUCCCAGAAAAGCCCGAACCACGUUAAUUUCUAAUUACCUGUACCCGAAACCGACACAGGUGGGUAGGUAGAGUAUACUAAGGGGCGCGAGAUAACUCUCUCUAAGGAACUCGGCAAAAUGACUCCGUAACUUCGGGAGAAGGAGUGCCUUAUUUAUAAGGUUGCAAUAACAAGAUCCAAGCAACUGUUUAUCAAAAACACAGGUCUCCGCUAAGUCGUAAGACGAUGUAUGGGGGCUGACGCCUGCCCAGUGCCAGAAGGUUAAAGAAGUUGGUUAGUGUAUGCGAAGCUGAUGACUGAAGCCCUGGUGAACGGCGGCCGUAACUAUAACGGUCCUAAGGUAGCGAAAUUCCUUGUCGGGUAAGUUCCGACCCGCACGAAAGGCGUAAUGAUUUGGAUACUGUCUCGGAGAGAGGCUCGGUGAAAUAGACUUGUCUGUGAAGAUGCGGACUACCUGCACCAGGACAGAAAGACCCUAUGAAGCUUUACUGUAACUUGAAAUUGGAAUUGGACUUUGCUUGCGCAGUAUAGGUGGGAAGCGUUGAAGAUAUUCUUGCGGGAGUAUUGGAGCUAUCAGUGAGAUACCACUCUUGUAAUGUUAGAUUUCUAACUUUGAACCAUAAUCUGGUCAAAGAACAGUUUCAGGUGGGCAGUUUGACUGGGGCGGUCGCCUCCCAAAUGGUAACGGAGGCGUACAAAGGUUUCCUCUGAACGGAUAGAAAUCGUAUCUAGAGUGUAAAGGCAUAAGGAAGCUUGACUGUGAGACCUACAAGUCGAGCAGGGACGAAAGUCGGUCUUAGUGAUCUGACGGUACUGAGUGGAAAGGCCGUCACUCAACGGAUAAAAGUUACUCUAGGAUAACAGGCUGAUCUCCCCCAAGAGUUCACAUCGACGGGGAGGUUUGGCACCUCGAUGUCGGCUCAUCGCAUCCUGGGGCGGUAGUACGUCCCAAGGGUUGGGCUGUUCGCCCAUAAAAGCGGUACGCGAGCUGGGUUCAGAACGUCGUGAGACAGUUCGGUCCAUAUCCGGUGUAGGCGUUAGAAUAUUGAGAGGAGCCUUCUUUAGUACGAGAGGACCGAGAAGGACACACCGCUGGUGUACCAGUUAUCGUGCCAACGGUAAACGCUGGGUAGCUAUGUGUGGAGUGGAUAACCGCUGAAAGCAUCUAAGUGGGAAGCCCACCUCAAGAUGAGUAUUCU
rnacentral:rRNA from 1 species